AAAUCAGACACGGGAGUUUAUAUCAACAUUAUAUAGUGUUGGUAUGUCACGUACAUAAAGAUUCCUAUGUAAAGUUGCCAAAGCAGUUUUGAUUUCAAAAGCCCCAUUUAUACCACAAUUAAGUGUGGAAUAUUUAUUGGUUGUCUGUCAUUACUGUUUUGAUUACAAACACAGGCAAGGAUAAUAACUCUUCAGAAUUUUUCUCUGGACUGGCUUAGGUGGAUUUGUAGUUUAUGAAUUAGUUGCACUGGGGAAAAAAAUGAACAAAGUAACUAUUCUUAGAUAAUUGGCCAUCAGCAACUCAGUGGCUUUUUGGCUUCUCCAAAAUCAGGAUAGUGGUAACCAAAAUAUUGAUUGGGAAAGGGAAUAGUGCUGAAGCCUUUCUGUACUGUAAAACUUUUGUUCAUAUGUUUCUGCCUGUUGUGGUAUAAAUGGCCUUUAAAAUACUUUUAUAUGGCCAAAAAAAAAAAGCAAAACUUCUAAAUAUUUUACAUUGGGUCAUGAAGAUCUGUAUCAUCCUUAAGAGCUUUUUAAAGAAGUUUUUUUGUAUGCUUCAUGCUGUACAAAACAUGAAUGUAUCUUUCAGACAUAAUGACCUAUAGACCUAUAUGUGAUUGGUGUUAUGACUGUUGAAUUUUAUGAAUAAUUAUUUUCAUACCAUUUGAUUAGGAAAAAUGUUGGGUGGAUGCGGGAAAGAGUAUGUUUGUAACACUUCCAUGAUGCAAAUCCAGUUUAAGAAAAAAAAAUUCAUUGUAAAUAAGAGCAAUAUUAUGACAAUUUUGUGCCAAUGUAUAAUGUUAAGACUUUUGUUUUCCUUUUAGGCUGGGAUUGAAAACUACCACUACCAUCUCUUGUUUAAAGUGUAUUUGAAAGUUUUGGGUUGUGGGGUUUUUUUUUUUGUUUGUUUGGUUUUUGUUUGUUUUUUGUUUUUUUUUUUUGUAGAAAUACCUGGGGCUCUAGUGGCAGCUUUAAGUGUUCUGGGGCCUUUUUUCUUUCUUUGCUAAAUAUGAAAUAAGGUGCAGGUAUUGUUUAAUAAACCACCUACAGAUUGUCAGCCAAUCCACUUUGAGAAAUACUGCUUUAGAUACUCCAGGUAACUGAGAGCUGAAGAAUUCACUUAUCCUGAAUUUGGAAGCAUUUGGGGUUUUAAAUAACUUGCAAGUCUUAAGCAGCAAAACACUGCUGUUAUGCAUUUUAUUUUUAUAUAUUCUCUCCCAGUUAUGAAAAAGCCUGAAUUUUUUUUCUCACUACAUUUAAUGCUAGCUGAUGUGUCUUCCAUGUUUCUCUGUUAAAACUUGAAAGCUUAUGUUCCAUAUAGAUAAAGCAAUAAUACUUAUUCUAGAAUGCCUGAUUACAGUCUGGCACACCAUCUAUUAGAGAAAGCAGUUGGGAGAUAAAGGAACAUGAGAGUUUGUUAUGGAACCUGUGUAGCUGGCAACUUUCCUUGGAGACCUUCCAGAAAGCUUUGUGGUACCUGUGGAAGGGCCAAAAUGCAGCAGACCUGCUGCAGUUGCACUGCUCAAGGCAAUGGGAAGUAGGGAAGGUCUGGCAUAGAGAUGCUGGAGCUCCAGGUAUGAAGUGGAACUGAAUUAUGUGGUAUUUUUAUGCUUCUGCAGUGUGCGUGCAGGUGUGUGGGCGAUGUUUGAUGGCUCAGGGAAUUGGCACAAGCAUGAAAAACUCUACAGAUCCACCAGUUUCCAAGUAAAAGCAGGUCUUCCAAUAUGUAUGCUGUCGUUUUGACUAUAGAGCCAAUACGCAGGCAACAAGACCCUCAGCCCUAAGGAUAAAAGGAGGGAUUGGGUUAUGGUCCAAAUUAAAAUUUUGCAUGUUUAGACUUCCAUAAAGUACGGGAGUGUUGCCCUGUAAUGUCAGUUGUAGUCUUUGUAGUUCACAUUUCAGGUCCCAGGUUGGCUGGGUCCAUUUGCUCAUUUAAGUACCCACCUUUUGCAUUGAGACUGGAAAAGUUCUUUUCCAUUGCUAUUCAGUGCUGGGAUCCAAUAUCAAAGUCUGGUAAAAACAUACUCGUUGCUUAGAUGUGAAUCUUGCAUGAAAUUACAGGGAUUAUAAUUAAUGGUGAUUGGGAAGCUGUUACAAGGGCAGAAUGGUUUGUUUCAGUGUAACUGUUCUGUCCAGUCUCUCUUAUCCCACUGCAGUUAUCAACUGAAACUGAUAAUUUGUUUGGGGUUUUUUGUUUGUUUAGCAGUCUACAGAGGCCAGUUUGUUAUCACUGGAUUGUACCUCUGUGCUAGUUGCUACUGGUAAUGUGCAUCUUCUCGCUUCUCCACCUACAAGUUUUAACUGGUGCAUAAGUUGUAAGCUCUGGCUGUUGGCUGAGGCACAUUUUGCUCGUUGAGAGCUCAGUAGUGAGAAUUUGAGAUAAAUCACUUUAAAAAUAUGCUGAAAUUUCCAGUUAAAAAGAUUUUGACUUUUUUAUUUCUUCAAAUCUGUAGCCUCAUUUUAAAACAAACAAACAAUAAAACCAAACCACCACUGAAAUAUCUAUCAUUGCAGUCUGCUGUAGCAUGAGCUAUGGUUUCACAGGCUGGCUGACAGUUUGUUGGUUGUGUUAUUUCGUAUUUAGCAACCUUACACAUUUUAAAGGGUAAAUUUUUUCCAAGUGUUUUGGUGUUUAAAUAGUAGCACUUUAUCUCAUGCUUACUACUGACUGAACUACUGGACAAAAUAAAUUGGGUUUGGAGGUAAAUGCUUAAUGGGUUUCUGUACAGAGAUGAUUCGGAUUACACCCUGGUACAAAUGUUUUCCAUUGUUCCAACCAUUUCUGGUCAAUUUUCCUAUCUUAAAAAGAAUAUAAAGCUUGCGUUUGGGAAAAAAAAAUGGUGCAACUAAAAACUGCAGGGUACUUGUAAAUGUAUCUCUGAUCUCUCUCAGCUAGCUACAGAUUAGCUGUGUUUACUGGAAAGGUUUCUGCCAAGCAUUAUUUCUAACAUCAGAUCACCUGGAAAUAAGUAUAUUUUUUUUUUCUUAACUUAUUUGAAUUUUGAUAACUAAAGAUAAUGCAUAGCAAAGUUUAAAGUUGUCACCCUUUUGCUCCUAGGCCAGGGGCCUAGGACAUGAGUGAAACGGUUAAACAGUUUACAUUAAGCUGUUGUUUUCUUUAACUAAAAUAUAUCCACAAAGACUAAGCUAUAAACGAUCCAGUGCAAUUAUCUCAGUACAUUGGGGCACCACAGUAUCAACCCACAAUAAUCUUACAGGAAAAUUAAGGUAGGAAAACAAAAGUUUUACUUUAUCCAAUGCAGCUAGAUUUGUUUUCCAUUUGCUUUGGUUCAUUUACCAGUGAUGCCACUUUAACCCAUCAAUUUGGCAGGACUGUUUGUGUAAGGUUUGGGUUUUUUUCUGUACCAGGUGCUAUACUAUGUGUAAAUGCAAAGGGAAGAAUAUUAUUUAGAUCAUAUUAACAAUCAGAUGGUGGCAAUAUUUUUUGCUUAUUUCUGAUAAUUAAUUUGCAUUUCCAGGUGUGACUUUCAGUUGCCAAAUUUCAUCUCAUUUCAUACUGCUGAAUGAUGGACUGCAAGUGUGAUCAUCUCAGAGUUGAACAGCUCUUUCAUUGUUUAGACUAACUCUUGUGUAUCUUUAUUAAUGUUGGGGGGUGGGAAGGUUCUUCCCAUAAGUAGACUUUUGCCUAUAAAUAUGUUUAAAAGCACAUGAGGGGGAGGAAAAAAAAACAAACCUAAAUGCAACAUCUUGGCUAAAGAGCCAGCGUGGUUGAUCAAAAAUGAUGGAAAAUUGAAAUUGGUCAACACUGGACAAUGUGAAAAUAAAUUCAUCUUUUGUCACUGCAGCUACUGUAUGCUUUAAAGGGCCUUAUGUAUUUGUCUUCAUUUUGAUAAAAUGAAAUAUCUUGCCAUUAAAAUGAUACACUAACUUCUACCGAAAACCAGCAGUUCCCAGGAUAAAUAUGCUAAUUAACAUUUAACAAAUCUUGUUUUAGUCUUAAGUAAAAUUUCAUUCUAUUAUGUGAAAAAAUGCUGUUAUGCAUAUUUUGUGGAUAUAUUUAAUUUCAGUUGACAGAUAGUUGUCUAGGUACAGACUUGAAAAAACAUAUAUAGUUUACUUGUGGAUAUUAAUUGUUUAAUUGCAAAAUAAAGAUGUGCUUUAGUAAUUUAAAGUUUU